UACGUAGGGUGCGAGCGUUGUCCGGAAUUAUUGGGCGUAAAGAGCUCGUAGGCGGCCUGUCACGUCGGCUGUGAAAACCCGGGGCUCAACCCCGGGCCUGCAGUCGAUACGGGCAGGCUAGAGUUCGGCAGGGGAGACUGGAAUUCCUGGUGUAGCGGUGAAAUGCGCAGAUAUCAGGAGGAACACCUGAGGUGAAGACGGGUUGCUGGGCCGACACUGACGCUGAUAGCGCGAAAGCCAGGGGAGCAAACGGG
rnacentral:rRNA from 1 species